GACUCCACCCUAGUGUUCCAUAUCCUGAUAGCAGCCGUCACACUAAUAGCAAGUGUAUGGAGCAAAUGGAGCAAAUUUUCUACAUCACCCUGAUGUUUUCUACAUCCCCCUAACACACACAGCACCCUAACACACAGCACCAUCACUCACACACACACACACACACACACACAGCACCCUAACACACACACACACACAUAUCACCCUCGCACAGCACCCUAACACAUAGCACCCUAACACUCACAGCACCCUAACACACACAUCACCCUCACACAGCAUCCUAACACACUGCACACCUCACACACACACAUACUGCACCCUCACACAGCACCCUCACACACACAAACUAUACUCGUCACAAAUGCACACUACUCCCCUCACACAUACACAAUACACCCUUCACACACACACACUGCACACCUCACACAUACACACAGCAGCCCCCAAACACGCUGCACCACUCACACACACAAUACUUCCAAACAUAUAUUUAUAUAUAAUACAGAACCCCUCACACACAUACUUCACCCAUAAACAAAUUAAAUUCCAGACAAAUACUAGAUUCCUUACCCAACUCUGGAUCAUCUACACACUAGAUCUCUAUAUACACUCUGAAUCCUCUAUACACACACACACACACACACACUCACUAGAUCUCCUAUACACACUCCUGAGUCCUUCAAACACACUAAAUCCCCUACACACAGACGCUGCACCACCUACACACACACACUACAUUUCCUACAUACACACUCUGGAUCCCCUAUGCACACACUAGAUUCCAUGUAAGCAAACACAUAGUGUCUCCAUAAAUGGGAUACAGUGAAUAUCACAAUUAUGGAAACAAGUUUCAAGCAAACACAACGCAAGCAUGUUAUUAAAUUUGCUUGCGCUGUGCAGAACAAAUAUAGGGCCCUUUUCUCAUGCCCUGGAAGAGCACUGAACCAAAAGCUCACUUUGCGAUGGGACAUGCUUGUCAUUGGGGAUGACAAAACACACCCUAUCUGGCCCCGCCCCCUUUUCAGUGGGCCGCUGUGAAUAAAAAAUGCCCGGGCCAAAUUUUUUCCCCAGUCCGGCCCUGGUAUGGAGGGAGGCUGAUACCCCAUCAUGGAGUGCCC